rnacentral:rRNA from 1 species
GACGAACGCUGGCGGCGUGCCUAAUACAUGCAAGUGGGACGCAAGGGAACACACCGUGCUUGCACACCGUGUUUUCUUGAGUCGCGAACGGGUGAGUAACGCGUAGGUAACCUGCCUAUUAGCGGGGGAUAACUAUUGGAAACGAUAGCUAAUACCGCAUAAUAUUAAUUAUUGCAUGAUAAUUGAUUGAAAGAUGCAAGCGCAUCACUAGUAGAUGGACCUGCGUUGUAUUAGCUAGUUGGUAAGGUAAGAGCUUACCAAGGCGACGAUACAUAGCCGACCUGAGAGGGUGAUCGGCCACACUGGGACUGAGACACGGCCCAGACUCCUACGGGAGGCAGCAGUAGGGAAUCUUCGGCAAUGGACGAAAGUCUGACCGAGCAACGCCGCGUGAGUGAAGAAGGUUUUCGGAUCGUAAAGCUCUGUUGUAAGUCAAGAACGUGUGUGAGAGUGGAAAGUUCACAC